rnacentral:rRNA from 1 species
UACGGAGGAGGCAAGCGUUAUCCGGAAUUAUUGGGCGUAAAGCGCCCGUAGGUGGCGUUUCAAGUCUGUGGUCAAAGACUGGGGCUUAACCCUGGAAAGGCCGUGGAAACUGAAUAGCUAGAGGGCAGUAGGGGUAGAGGGAAUUCCCGGUGUAGCGGUGAAAUGCGUAGAGCUCGGGAAGAACAUCGGUGGCGAAAGCGCGCUGCUGGACUGCAACUGACACUCAGGGACGAAAGCUAGGGGAGCGAAUGGG